UAGGGAAUCUUCGGCAAUGGACGAAAGUCUGACCGAGCAACGCCGCGUGAGUGAAGAAGGUUUUCGGAUCGUAAAGCUCUGUUGUAAGAGAAGAACGAGUGUGAGAGUGGAAAGUUCACACUGUGACGGUAACUUACCAGAAAGGGACGGCUAACUACGUGCCAGCAGCCGCGGUAAUACGUAGGUCCCGAGCGUUAUCCGGAUUUAUUGGGCGUAAAGCGAGCGCAGGCGGUUAGAUAAGUCUGAAGUUAAAGGCCGUGGCUUAACCAUAGUACGCUUUGGAAACUGUUUAACUUGAGUGCAGAAGGGGAGAGUGGAAUUCCAUGUGUAGCGGUGAAAUGCGUAGAUAUAUGGAGGAACACCGGUGGCGAAAGCGGCUCUCUGGUCUGUAACUGACGCUGAGGCUCGAAAGCGUGGGGAGCAAACAGGAUUAGAUACCCUGGUAGUCCACGCCGUAAACGAUGAGUGCUAGGUGUUGGGUCCUUUCCGGGACUCAGUGCCGCAGCUAACGCAUUAAGCACUCCGCCUGGGGAGUACNACCGCAAGGUUG
rnacentral:rRNA from 1 species